rnacentral:rRNA from 1 species
AUACGUAGGUGACAAGCGUUAUCCGGAUUUACUGGGCGUAAAGGGCGCGUAGGCGGCCUGUUAAGUCUGGAGUGAAAGUCCUGUUUUCAAGAUGGGAAUUGCUUUGGAUACUGAUGGGCUUGAGUGCAGGAGAGGUUAUCGGAAUUCCCGGUGUAGCGGUGAAAUGCGUAGAGAUCGGGAGGAACACCAGUGGCGAAGGCGGGUAACUGGACUGCAACUGACGCUGAGGCGCGAAAGUGUGGGGAGCAAACAGGAUUAGAUACCCUGGUAGUCCACACUGUAAACGAUGAAUGCUAGGUGUAAGAGGUAUCGACCCCUUUUGUGCCGGAGUUAACACAAUAAGCAUUCCGCCUGGGGAGUACGGCCGCAAGGUUGAAACUCAAAGGAAUUGACGGGG